rnacentral:rRNA from 1 species
CAGCCGUAAACUAUGCUCGCUAGGUGUCAGGCAUGGCGCGACCGUGUCUGGUGCCGCAGGGAAGCCGUGAAGCGAGCCACCUGGGAAGUACGGCUGCAAGGCUGAACUUAAGGAAUUGGCGGGGGAGCACAACAACGGGUGGAGCCUGCGGUUUAAUUGGACUCAACGCCGGACAACUCACCGGGGACGACAGCAAUAUGUAGGCCAGGCUGAAGACCUUGCCUGAAUCGCUGAGAGGUGGUGCAUGGCGUAGACGUCU